GGGUGUUAGCUCAGCUGGUUAGAGCGCCGGCCUGUCACGCCGGAGGUCGUGGGUUCGAGCCCCAUACA
rnacentral:tRNA from 1 species